rnacentral:rRNA from 1 species
UACGUAGGGGGCAAGCGUUGUCCGGAUUUAUUGGGCGUAAAGAGCGUGUAGGCGGCCAGGCAGGUCUGCUGUGAAAACUCGAGGCUUAACCUCGAGAUGUCGGCGGAAACCAUCUGGCUAGAGUCCGGAAGAGGAGAGCGGAAUUCCUGGUGUAGCGGUGAAAUGCGUAGAGAUGUGGAGGAACACCAGUGGCGAAGGCGGCUUUUUGGUCUGUAACUGACGCUGAGGCGCGAAAGCGUGGGGAGCAAACAGG